AACGCACAUUGCGCCUCCCGUUAAUGGGAGGCAUGCCUGUCUGAGCGUCAUUUAAAACCAUGACCCUUUGGGUCGUAUUGGGACUCGCCUCGCGGCGUCUCCUCAAAGUCAUCGUGUCUAAAAGCGGACGAGAUCCAUUAGGACAGAACGUUUGAGGACCCUAAACUCUCUGACUUGACCUCAGAUCAGGUAGGACUACCGCCUGAACUUAA
rnacentral:misc_RNA from 1 species